UGGGGAAUUCUGGACAAUGGGCGAAAGCCUGAUCCAGCAAUGCCGCGUGUGUGAAGAAGGCCUUCGGGUUGUAAAGCACUUUUGUCCGGAAAGAAAUCCUUGGCUCUAAUACAGUCGGGGGGAUGACGGUACCGGAAGAAUAAGCACCGGCUAACUACGUGCCAGCAGCCGCGGUAAUACGUAGGGUGCAAGCGUUAAUCGGAAUUACUGGGCGUAAAGCGUGCGCAGGCGGUUUGCUAAGACCGAUGUGAAAUCCCCGGGCUCAACCUGGGAACUGCAUUGGUGACUGGCAGGCUAGAGUAUGGCAGAGGGGGGUAGAAUUCCACGUGUAGCAGUGAAAUGCGUAGAGAUGUGGAGGAAUACCGAUGGCGAAGGCAGCCCCCUGGGCCAAUACUGACGCUCAUGCACGAAAGCGUGGGGAGCAAACAGGAUUAGAUACCCUGGUAGUCCACGCCCUAAACGAUGUCAACUAGUUGUUGGGGAUUCAUUUCCUUAGUAACGUAGCUAACGCGUGAAGUUGACCGCCUGGGGAGUACGGUCGCAAGAUUAAAACUUAAAGGAAUUGACGGGGUCAUAGCUGUUUCCU
rnacentral:rRNA from 1 species